UAUCAAAUCUGCUUACAUAAAAGACAACUCAUUCAAAUUCGUUUGUUAUAUACAUGACAAUGUGCAUGUGUUUUGCCUUGAUGAUUUUUCAUACUUCAUUAGAAACUUGUCUAGUUGCCUUAAUGGAUGAUGGUUAAAUGUGGAAUAGAAGAUUAUGAUGUGAUCCUAGACUACUUGAAUUUAAGUCCAAUGAUGCAAUCUCACAUCAAGGAGAUAUCCUGCGGUAAUCAAGACUUCUGCUAGAUAAUUACCCAUGAGUCUGCAGUCGUACAUGAAGAAAAGCGUAU
rnacentral:lncRNA from 1 species